UGGGGAAUCUUGCGCAAUGGGGGCAACCCUGACGCAGCCAUGCCGCGUGAGUGAUGAAGGCCUUAGGGUUGUAAAGCUCUUUUACCCGGGAUGAUAAUGACAGUACCGGGAGAAUAAGCUCCGGCUAACUCCGUGCCAGCAGCCGCGGUAAUACGGAGGGAGCUAGCGUUGUUCGGAAUUACUGGGCGUAAAGCGCACGUAGGCGGCCAUUCAAGUCAGAGGUGAAAGCCCAGGGCUCAACCCUGGAACUGCCUUUGAAACUAGAUGGCUAGAAUCCUGGAGAGGCGAGUGGAAUUCCGAGUGUAGAGGUGAAAUUCGUAGAUAUUCGGAAGAACACCAGUGGCGAAGGCGGCUCGCUGGACAGGUAUUGACGCUGAGGUGCGAAAGCGUGGGGAGCAAA
rnacentral:rRNA from 1 species